rnacentral:rRNA from 1 species
AUGAACGCUGGCGGCGUGCUUAACACAUGCAAGUCGAGCGAAGCACUUACCAUUGACUCUUCGGAAGAUUUGGUAAAUGACUGAGCGGCGGACGGGUGAGUAACGCGUGGGUAACCUGCCUCAUACAGGGGAAUAACAGUUAGAAAUGGCUGCUAAUGCCGCAUAAGCGCACAGUACCGCAUGAUACGGUGUGAAAAACCGAGGUGGUAUGAGAUGGACCCGCGUCUGAUUAGGUAGUUGGUGGGGUAACGGCCUACCAAGCCGACGAUCAGUAGCCGGCCUGAGAGGGUGAACGGCCACAUUGGGACUGAGACACGGCCCAGACUCCUACGGGAGGCAGCAGUGGGGAAUAUUGCACAAUGGGGGAAACCCUGAUGCAGCGACGCCGCGUGAAGGAAGAAGUAUCUCGGUAUGUAAACUUCUAUCAGCAGGGAAGAA